UUCAACAUGAUCCAACUAUUAUAAUUAAUCAUGAACCAACGAAGUUGAACUAUUGUAAUGUGCAUGUGUCUUAACGAAGCUUAGGCUAAUUUUACUCAACAACGAUGGAUUUCUUGAGCGAAUCCUAGUUAAAUCAGUUAGCUCAAUUGAGCCAUAAAAUUUGUAAUAUCCAUGCCACUCAUCUAUCUUAGGCUAUCUUAAUUGACACCGGACCUCCAAGUCUACACCCCGCAUAAAAGUUGAAUGAUUCAAACCGAGUCCCAAUUGCAGCUAAAUCGACUUAGCAAACCAUG
rnacentral:lncRNA from 1 species